UACAGAGGGUGCGAGCGUUGUUCGGAAUUAUUGGGCGUAAAGGGCGCGUAGGCGGUGCGGUAAGUCACCUGUGAAAUCUCCUGGCUCAACUGGGAGCUUGCAGGCGAAACUGCCGUGCUGGAGUGUGGGAGAGGUGCGUGGAAUUCCUGGUGUAGCGGUGAAAUGCGUAGAUAUCAGGAGGAACACCUGUGGCGAAAGCGGCGCACUGGACCACAACUGACGCUGGGGCGCGAAAGCUAGGGGAGCAAACAGG
rnacentral:rRNA from 1 species